AUGAAGAUGGAACAUUUUGGGAUAAUGUACCCUGGUUUUUCUCGGAAAACCCUAUGGUUCUUUAUGGAUCCUCUUAUGCAUUAUGUUCGAUAUCAAGGCAAUUCUUGCAUCAAAAGGCACUUUUUUGAAGAAGAAAUGGAAAUGUGUACCAAAAAGUUCUUUGUUAGUAAGGAAUUAAAUGCUGGAGAAUUCAUUUCUAAUAGAUACUCGAAUUAA
rnacentral:rRNA from 1 species